CUCUCUCUCUAUAUAUAUAUAUAUAUAUAGUACAAAACCCUUGGUACUAUUGAGUUUUCUACUGUUAGAUCUACCCUUUGAUCAUUUCCACCAGUUAGAUUAUACUAUUAAACCAACCACCCACUCAACCCUAGGGGACCACUAUCAUCCUAACCGCACAUUCUUUCAUCCAACGGCCGAAAACUCAAUAGUACCAAGGAUUUGGUACUAUUGAUAGUAUAGUAGCAUAAUUCUAUAUAUAUAUAUAUAUGGAGUAGGGCUACUGUGCUAUUAGGAGCAUAAGAGCUGUUGUGCUGCUAAUAGCAUAGCAGCCCUACUCAUAUGUAUAUACUAGUUAAUAUUUCAUAAAUUUAUAUGUUAUAUUUUAUUAGAAAAUAUCUACAAUAUGUUUUUUUUUUUAUAUACAUUCAACAUUUUAUAUAUUUUUUAAUUUCUAAUAAAUCUAAAAUUUAAAUAAGUAUUUUAAACUAAAAACAUCAAAAUUUAAUUGACAUUUAUUUCAAAAUUUAAAAUUUAAUUUUGAUUCACUAUAUAAUUAAUUCAAUUUUGAUAUCAAAAAUCAAAAAUUAAAUUUAAUUCACGAUUUAAACUCAAAUUUUAAUUUUAAUGUAAAAUAGAUGAAUAGAUUUGAUAUCAAAAAUAAAAAAUUAAAUUUAAUUCAUAAUUUAAACCUAAAUUUAAAUUUUAAUGUAAAAUAGAUGGAUAGAAGUGCUAUUUUUUAACAGAUUGAUUAUAACCGCUCAUUUUUAUUUCAAAUAUUUUUAACCAAUUGAUCAUAAUUUUUUGCAAAUUGAUCAUAAAUUUGUAUUUUUUUAUUUCUAAAAUAAAAAAAAAUUAAACAAAUUUUGAAUUAAAAUAUAGGUUCACAGUAGAUAUUUUUCAGUUUGCAAAAAUUUAGAUAAAUUUAUUUUUUUCUAAUUUAGACAUAAAGAGAAAUUAAAAGUUUAUUUUAUUACGUUAUUUAUUUUAUGUAAGGAAAGAGAAAUCAAUUUUUUUUCCGUCUAGUUCUAUCGACUAACAGAAAUUUGAAAUACAUGAUUUUAUAUAUAGUAUAGAUAGAUAGUGUAGAUAUUAUAUUAUAAAUAGAUAUAAAAAAGAAUUAAACAAAUUUUGAAUUAAAAUACAGAUUCACAGUAGAUAUUCUCCGGUUAGCAAAUAUUUAGAUAAGCAUAAUUUUUUUUUCUGUUGUAGAAAUAAAGUGGAAUUAAAAUUUUGUUUAAUUCUGUUAUUUUUUUACGUAAGAAAAGAGGAAUCAAUUUUUUUUCAAUUCCCGCCAAAAAAAUAGGUCUGUGAAAUCCGAAAUUUAAAAUACAUGAUUUUAUAUAUAGUAUAGAUAGUGUAGAUAUUAUAUUAUAGAUAGAGAUAAAAAGAAAUUAAACAAAUUUUAAAUUAAAAUAUAGAUUUACAGUAGAUAUUUUCCGGUUAUCAAAAAUUUGGAUAAACAUAAAUUUUUUUCUGUUGUAGAAAUAAAGAGAAAUUAAAAGUUUGUUUAAUUCUGUUAUUUUUUUACAGAAAGAGGAAUCAUUUUUUUUUCAAUUCCCGCCAAAAAAUGGGUCUGUCGACAGACCCAAAUUUGAAUAAACGUACUUAUAUAUAUAUAUAUAUAUGACUGGUGUUGUUAAUAGUAUUCUAAUUUAAUUCAUAUAUAUGUAUAGAGUCCGGCUACUAUACUCUUAUGAGUACUAUCGCCCUCGUACUCAUAAGUUGUUUUCUAUUAUAGAGCUUCCGAAUCGACGAUCCACACUGUUAAAUGUUAUCUAGAGCAUUUAAAACGUCUAGAAAUCAAAUUUUAUAAUUUUCGACAUCAUUUGCCUUGCGAUCAAAAGGUCACAAAAUUGAUAAUUUUUAACAGCCGGUAUGGGAUAUUUGCUAGUUUAAUAGUGUAAAAGAAUCAAAAUCAGUUGAAUUUUUGAUAGAAAAUUAUAUUCACUACAUAGAUAAAGAUCAAUAACUCCGAUCUUAAAUUGAAGGAUCCGAUCAUCUAUUUUUAAGACGUCGUUCGAUUUUGACCAUUUAUUUUACACACGCUUGAUGAACUUUAUUAUAAUUUCGAAAAAUUACGAAAUUUAUUUUUUAAAAGUUUCAAAUACUCUAUAUCAUAUUUAACGGAGUGGAUCGUUGAUUCGAAAGCUCCAUCAUUGAAAACAACUUAUAAGUUCGAAAUGCUCUAUACUCAUAAGAGUAUAGUAGCCCUAGUCUAUAUAUAUAUAUAGAGUUAGGCUGGUAUACUAUCGGUAGUAUGAAGGUUUUCGUGCUACCAAGUUGUUUUCAAUGAUUCGGCCUUCAAAUUGACGAUCGUUUUCGUUAGACUUAGGUUUCGUUUGGGAUUGCGGGGAGAUUGUUACGGUGAGAAACGACGAUGGGAAAAUACCCUGUUUGUUUCCGUACGUAAUAUUACGUUCCGCAUAUCCCACUGGAGAACGCAGAAGUAUAUCCCUAUAUGCUUUAUCCUCAACUCCAUUUUAUCUAAUAGCGUUAGAUAGACCUCAAUACCAAACUAAGCCUUAAUCUACACUAUUAAAAGUAUUUGAAAACUAAAUUUCAUAAUUUUUCGACAUAUAUAUGGUAAAAUUAGUUCGGAUUCUGAUCGUAUUUGAGUUUGGAUCGUGCACAAGCAAAAUCCAUAUCCGAAUCUAAAUCUAUUAAAUUUUUAUU
rnacentral:lncRNA from 1 species